rnacentral:lncRNA from 1 species
UGAAAAGCGGCAUGUCCUUGUAGUUGUUGCCGGCGUCAAACAAUGCAGAGCGCACACUGUUGGAUGUUUGGAUUUUGUUUGGGACCUAUUUUCUGUCGGUUUUUAAAAUUAGGGGCGUAAUUACAAGGAACUAUCGUGGAGUCGCUCAUAGUAACAGCCAGGACUUUAGCAGCCUCCACCCUUGAGCAAUUUGCAGCUAAUUUGUAAUAGUCAGGACUUUAGCAGCCGCCCUCACCUCACCCUUUUGUAUCAGGCUGUCAGCCUGCUUGCAAUGCAAUACGAGGAGGAGCAGAGCAGCAGGUGUCUCCAUGGAUGCAAGCCAGGAUGUGUGGGACUGGGACUGGGAGCUGGUCCUGCCAGACCACAGGAGCUUCUCCCUGAGCAAUGGCGGCAAGAAUCUUGAUGGUAAGGAGCUUCUCCCUGAGCCAUGGCGGCAAGAAUCUUGAUGAUAAAGAAACAGUCGAGCAUGAUCUGCUGCCCCCAUCAGGAG